GAAUGUAUAGCUCAGUGGUAGAGCACAUGCUUAGCAUGCUUGAGGUCCUGGGUUCAAUCCCCAGUACCUCCC
rnacentral:tRNA from 1 species